rnacentral:rRNA from 1 species
UACGUAGGUGGCAAGCGUUAUCCGGAUUUAUUGGGCGUAAAGGGAACGCAGGCGGUCUUUUGAGUCUGAUGUGAAAGCCUUCGGCUUAACCGGAGUAGUGCAUUGGAAACUGGGAGACUUGAGUGCAGAAGAGGAGAGUGGAACUCCAUGUGUAGCGGUGAAAUGCGUAGAUAUAUGGAAGAACACCAGUGGCGAAAGCGGCUCUCUGGUCUGUAACUGACGCUGAGGUUCGAAAGCGUGGGGAGCAAACAGG